UCGAUGAAUAUUGUUUAAUUGUUGAUGGCAUUCUAAGCAUUUAUUUUUGAAGGGGGCAACAUUCAGAUCCAAUUCUCUUUCAUUGUGGAGAGAACUCUUUGCAGGUUUUCCAACUUCAUACGUGCUUCUUUGCCCAAUGUAAACUAAGGCAUCAGCCAAGAUAGAGUACAUGUAAUAUGCAUCAUCAUUUUGCUGAAAUUUACAGCAUGAUUUAGCACUUCAGUUCAUGAUGCUUCACCCAUAGAAUUAGAUGUUUCUAUUAUCAAACUUCUGUUCUCCAGUCCACGAUAAGUAACACGGAGAACUUUUUUCCCCUUAGUCUCGUAUUUGUCUCCAAGAGAAUCCAAUCUAAUAGUUCACAACAAAUUUCCUCUGAGUUUCAUGAUGCUCUUAGUUGUAUUCUCUUGAAAACAGCUAUGAGACUAAGGAAAAAAAACUUCAAUCCUACUGCUGAUCAUGAAAUAGUUACUAAAGUUUGGUAAUAAAAAAUCUAAUUCUGUGGUUCGUGCAUGAUUGACUGAAGCACCAAAGCAGCAAGUAUAUUUCAGUGAAAUGCUGAUGCAUACUGCCUUGGAUUAUGUCGUGGUUAAUUCCUUUGUUUCCAUGAGGCAAAAAAGCAUGCACAGAGUUAGAAAACCUGGAGAGAGUUGUCUCUUUGAUGAAAGAUCAUUACCGGCUUGCAGUCUUGCACUAUUCUUACAUUUGGAUCUUGUUCUAAAAUUAGAAUUAGUUCAAUGCUCCAAAUAGACUUGGAACUAUGUUGGCGUUUCAUUCUCUAAAUCUUACUAGUGGUGAAACACAUGGUCAGAAUUAUCAUUCAUAUGGUGCCCGAUAAAUUCAUUUCUGUUAUUUCUUCCUUGGAAGGCUCUUAACUGACAUUUGGUUUUACGUAGAACUUUUUGUUCCACCCGAAAUUUGAGUGUCUGAAGACUUGGUAAAAUCCAUCUUCAAAACUUUCUUUCACAGGUAGAGUUGAAGAAACCAUGUUAUGGCCAAUUACAUCUAAUUUAUGGUGUCGGUUUACUCCUUUUUCUUUUUUUCUUCUAUGGAGGUCACAUUCUGUAUCAUGACUGAAUCCAGAAAACAAAAAGAUUUAUCCUGUUUCAGCGUGUUUCCAUCCUUUUGGGACUAUUUAAGCAAUUUUUACAUUUUUCAUGUUCAAAUUGUUGGUUCAUUUUUAUGGCUCGUGAUUGAGCAAAGUUGAUGUUUUUCUUACGUAGUCUUAGCUCUAUAACUAGCCCUGCUAUUCAGUUAUUGCUUGGAGCCAUUUCAGUAGUAUUUGCUGACUUCUGUAUCAUCAAUUUCAGGAUGAUAAAGGUUCCUCCAUGGACGGGCCAAGUUCUUCCACAACAAAUACACGUGAUAUCGAAGAUGUUGCUGAUGAAGAUGACGACGAUCUCGAUAUGGAUGAGCUAAAUGAACUGGAAGCUAGCCUGUCAAAAACAACAUUACAAAUCAAAGAACCAGGUGAUCUGUGAUCUGAAAAGGCAGAUUAUACUCUUUAGACCCAUUUCUUACUCAAGACACUUGCUGUUUAUGGGUAUUCUCAACUGUUGUCCCCUGCUAGAGUUACUCUCGGAGGAGAAUAGUAGUGGCUCCUGUUGUCAACUGACUGCAUCCUUAGUAUAUCUCUCAGACGAGUUGACAAUCAUUUCGAUCUUUUUAGUCGGUAGUCGGUGCGACUUAGUUAUAGAUUUAAGCCAAUUUUCACUAGUUAUUGAAGUUCUAGUCUUGGACAUAAUUGUUUAGCAGUCUUCAGGGGAUGGGCGUUUUCUUUGUUUGAAUGGGUUGUCUAUGAACUUUGAGGAUUUUUGCGUCUAUUUGUCUCGAUUAAAAAUAAUAAUAAAAUAAUGAAUUGAACGCGUUUAGUGCUUGCUAUUUCCUCAUUUUAUGCUGAAUUUCUUGCCAUUGCAUCGAGGUAUUCACCAUUUACCGGUUGCAUACUGUUAGAUAAUCACUUCUGUGGACUAAUUUACUUAUUAUUUUUGAAAUUAUCUUUUAC
rnacentral:lncRNA from 1 species